GCUCUGCUACAGACUCAGUGGCUAGAGCGUCUGCUUUGCAUGUAGAAGAUCUCAGGUUCAACCCUCGUCAUCUCUGGGUAGGGCU